UAUGGUGUGGAUGUUUGGCUUGUGCCGUCUCAUUAGCGUGAUACUGCGCUGCUCCAGAACAAGAGCCAGUGGAUCACAGACUAUCUGCUGACAGCUGAAGAGCGACAGAUACACCCCUCCGUGGCCUGAGGGACUCUGAUGAUAUCAGCAUUAACAAGCUUGAGGCUCUGGCACAAUGGGGCUUCAGGUGCUGUGCUGUAAACCGAUGGGACAUUCAUCCCAUUCUGACUCUCUGGUUACAAUCUGCUGCCCUGGACCUUUGAAACCAGGCAAGAAACAAGAGCCCAGCAGUCAGUGUGUGUGAGCUGAGGACUUGAAUUCAGCGCUGGCCUGAGGGAGAUGGGAUUAGAACAAAGCUGUGUUUCUCUAAUUGGACUCGACAAGCUCUGGUCAGUCAGAUAAGGAUUUACACAAGCUCCAGUCUGGAUCCAGAACACCUGAGAAGAGAUGAUGC